UAUUAACGCUGGCGGCAUGCCUAAUACAUGCAAGUCGAAUGGUAGCAAUACCAUGGCGAACGGGUGAGUAACACGUAGGUAAUCUACCCUUAAGUCGAGGAUAACCGUUGGAAACGGCGGAUAAUACUGGAUAGGACGUCAAAAGUCGCAUGACUAGACGUUUAAAGGUUAACUGCCUAAGGAGGAGCCUGCGGCGCAUUAGCUAGUUGGUGAGGUAACGGCCCACCAAGGCGAUGAUGCGUAGCCGGACUGAGAGGUUGACCGGCCACAUUGGGACUGAGACACGGCCCAG
rnacentral:rRNA from 1 species